rnacentral:rRNA from 1 species
UACAGAGGGUGCAGGCGUUAAUCGGAAUUACUGGGCGUAAAGCGUGCGCAGGCGGUUUGUUAAGACAGAUGUGAAAUCCCUCGGCUUAACCGAGGAACUGCCUGCCAGACUGGAUGGCUUGAGACCGGGAGAGGUGAGUGGAAUUCCCAGUGUAGCGGUGAAAUGCGUAGAUAUUGGGAGGAACACCAGUGGCGAAGGCGGCUCACUGGACCGGUACUGACGCUGAGGCGCGAAAGCGUGGGGAGCAAACAGG